rnacentral:piRNA from 1 species
UAGUAAAAAUGACUUCCGGUCAGAUACCGA